UACGUAGGGGGCUAGCGUUGUUCGGAAUCACUGGGCGUAAAGGGCGCGUAGGCGGCUUGAUAAGUCGGGGGUGAAAGCCUGUGGCUCAACCACAGAAUUGCCUUCGGUACUGUCGAGCUUGAGACCGGAAGAGGUAAGUGGAACUGCGAGUGUAGAGGUGAAAUUCGUAGAUAUUCGCAAGAACACCAGUGGCGAAGGCGGCUUACUGGUCCGGUUCUGACGCUGAGGCGCGAAAGCGUGGGGAGCAAACAGG
rnacentral:rRNA from 1 species